rnacentral:rRNA from 1 species
UACAGAGGGGGCAAGCGUUGUUCGGAAUUACUGGGCGUAAAGGGCGCGUAGGCGGCCUUCUAAGUCGAACGUGAAAUCCCCGGGCUCAACCCGGGAACUGCGUCCGAUACUGGAAGGCUUGAAUUCGGGAGAGGGAUGCGGAAUUCCAGGUGUAGCGGUGAAAUGCGUAGAUAUUGGGAAGAACACCGGUGGCGAAGGCGGCUAUCUGGCCCGUAAUUGACGCUGAGGCGCGAAAGCGUGGGGAGCAAACAGG